rnacentral:rRNA from 1 species
CGUAGGGUGCGAGCGUUAAUCAGAAUUACUGGGCGUAAAGCGUGCGCAGGCGGUUUGUUAAGAUAGGCGUGAAAUCCCCGGGCUCAACCUGGGAACUGCGCUUAUGACUGGCAAGCUAGAGUACGGCAGAGGGGGUGGAAUUCCACGUGUAGCAGUGAAAUGCGUAGAGAUGUGGAGGAACACCAAUGGCGAAGGCAGCCCCCUGGGUCGAUACUGACGCUCAUGCACGAAAGCGUGGGUAGCAAACAGGAUUAGAUACCCUGGUAGUCCACGCCCUAAACGAUGUCAACUAGGUGUUGGAUGGGUAAAACCAUUUAGUACCGGAGCUAACGCGUGAAGUUGACCGCCUGGGGAGUACGGCCGCAGGGUUA